ACGUAGGGUGCGAGCGUUAAUCGGAAUUACUGGGCGUAAAGCGUGCGCAGGCGGCUUUGUAAGACAGAUGUGAAAUCCCCGGGCUUAACCUGGGAACUGCGUUUGUGACUGUAGGGCUUGAGUGCGGCAGAGGGGGGUGGAAUUCCUGGUGUAGCAGUGAAAUGCGUAGAGAUCAGGAGGAACACCGAUGGCGAAGGCAGCCUCCUGGGCUGAUACUGACGCUCAUGCACGAAAGCGUGGGGAGCAAACAG
rnacentral:rRNA from 1 species